UACGUAGGGUGCGAGCGUUGUCCGGAAUUAUUGGGCGUAAAGGGCUCGUAGGUGGUUUGUCACGUCGGGAGUGAAAACUCAGGGCUUAACCCUGAGCCUGCUUCCGAUACGGGCAGACUAGAGGUAUGCAGGGGAGAACGGAAUUCCUGGUGUAGCGGUGAAAUGCGUAGAUAUCUGGAGGAACACCGGUGGCGAAGGCGGCAUCCUGGACCGGUAUUGACGCUGAGGCGCGAAAGCUAGGGGAGCAAACGGG
rnacentral:rRNA from 1 species